GUAGUUACGACGUCCGUGGCAGACGACGACGCUGGCGGCGUGCCUAAUACAUGCAAGUCGAGCGGACCGAACGAGAGCUUGCUCUUGUUUGGCCAGCGGCGGACGGGUGAGUAACACGUGGGCAACCUGCCCGCAAGACCGGGAUAACUCCGGGAAACCGGAGCUAAUACCGGAUAACACCAAAGACCGCAUGGUCUUUGGUUGAAAGGCGGCUUCGGCUGUCACUUGCGGAUGGGCCCGCGGCGCAUUAGCUAGUUGGUGAGGUAACGGCUCACCAAGGCGACGAUGCGUAGCCGGCCUGAGAGGGUGACCGGCCACACUGGGACUGAGACACGGCCCAGACUCCUACGGGAGGCAGCAGUAGGGAAUCUUCCGCAAUGGACGAAAGUCUGACGGAGCGACGCCGCGUGAGCGAAGAAGGCCUUCGGGUCGUAAAGCUCUGUUGUGAGGGACGAAGGAGCGCCGUUUGAAUAGGGCGGCGCGGUGACGGUACCUCACGAGAAAGCCCCGGCUAACUACGUG
rnacentral:rRNA from 1 species